CGGGCGGAGCCGGCGGGCCCCGUUUUCGACCAAGUCCCGUGAGGGGAAGUUGAAAAGCCCCGGGAACCGGCCCUGAAAAAAAACUUGAAAAUAGAACCCCCCCCCCCAGCUGGGGUUAUUCUUGGUUUAUGGAUUUGUUCCCCCAGCGCGAUAGCGAACGAGUCCCGUGGGGGAAAUAUGAAACGCUUUUUGGAAAGAGUGUUAAAAGUGCGUGAUAUUGUCGAAAGGAGAGCUCUUGAAGUCAGGCAUUGUGUGAGAGGCUCAGGGGGCUUUUGCUUGGUGUAUUUCUCGGUUCCAAGCCAGCAUUGGUUUGUGUCGUCGGAGAAGCGCAUCGGGAAUGUGGCAUCCUCGGAUGUGUUAUAGCCCUGUGCAGGAUACGACGACGUAGCUCACGGAACGCAGUGCCCCACCUCGCGGGUCUUCGGACACCUUCCCCCUUACCAUG
rnacentral:rRNA from 1 species